ACUCCUACGGGAGGCAGCAGUGGGGAAUAUUGGACAAUGGGCGAAAGCCUGAUCCAGCCAUGCCGCGUGUGUGAAGAAGGUCUUCGGAUUGUAAAGCACUUUAAGUUGGGGAGGAAGGGCAGUAAGUUAAUACCUUGCUGUUUUGACGUUACCAACAGAAUAAGCACCGGCUAACUUCGUGCCAGCAGCCGCGGUAAUACGGAAGGGUGCAAGCGUUAAUCGGAAUUACUGGGCGUAAAGCGCGCGUAGGUGGUUCAGCAAGUUGGAUGUGAAAUCCCCCGGGCUCAACCUGGGAACUGCAUCCAAAACUACUGAGCUAGAGUACGGUAGAGGGUGGUGGAAUUUCCUGUGUAGCGGUGAAAUGCGUAGAUAUAGGAAGGAACACCAGUGGCGAAGGCGACCACCGUGGACUGAUACUGACACUGAGUGCGAAAGCGUGGGAGCGAAACAGGAUUAGA
rnacentral:rRNA from 1 species